AGUGAACGCUGGCGGUAGGCCUAACACAUGCAAGUCGAACGGCAGCACAGUAAGAGCUUGCUCUUACGGGUGGCGAGUGGCGGACGGGUGAGGAAUACAUCGGAAUCUACUUUUUCGUGGGGGAUAACGUAGGGAAACUUACGCUAAUACCGCAUACGACCUACGGGUGAAGGCAGGGGAUCUUCGGACCUUGCGCGAUUGAAUGAGCCGAUGUCGGAUUAGCUAGUUGGCGGGGUAAAGGCCCACCAAGGCGACGAUCCGUAGCUGGUCUGAGAGGAUGGUCAGCCACACUGGAACUGAGACACGGUCCAGACUCCUACGGGAGGCAGCAGUGGGGAAUAUUGGGCAAUGGGCGCAAGCCUGAUCCAGCCAUACCGCGUGGGUGAAGAAGGCCUUCGGGUUGUAAAGCCCUUUUGUUGGGAAAGAAAAGCAGCAGGUUAAUACCCCGCUGUUCUGACGGUACCCAAAGAAUAAGCACCGGCUAACUUCGUG
rnacentral:rRNA from 1 species